CACGGGGGGAGCAAGCGUUGUUCGGAAUUACUGGGCGUAAAGGGCGUGUAGGCGGUCAAGUAAGUGGAAUGUGAAACGCCUCGGCUUACCCGAGGACCUGCAUCCCAAACUGCUUGGCUUGAGUAUGGGAGAGGAUGAGGGAAUUCCUGGUGUAGCGGUGAAAUGCGUAGAUAUCAGGAGGAACACCUAUUGCGAAGGCAGCUCGCUGGGACGUAACUGACGCUGAGACGCGAAAGCGUGGGGAGCAAACAGG
rnacentral:rRNA from 1 species